rnacentral:lncRNA from 1 species
GACCCCAGAAGCCCUAGACUGAGAAGAUAAAAUGGUCAGGUUGUUGGGGAAAAAAAAGUGCCAGGCUCUCUAGAGAAAAAUGUGAAGAGAUGCUCCAGGCCAAUGAGAAGAAUUAGACAAGAAAUACACAGAUGUGCCAGACUUCUGAGAAGCACCUGCCAGCAACAGCUUCCUUCUUUGAGCUUAGACACUUCAUUUUCCUAGUCCAUCCCUCAUGAAAAAUGACUGACCACUGCUGGGCAGCAGGAGGGAUGAUGACCAACUAAUUCCCAAACCCCAGUCUCAUUGGUACCAGCCUUGGGGAACCACCUACACUUGAGCCACAAUUGGUUUUGAAGUGCAUUUACAAGUUUCUGGCAUCACUACCACUACUGAUUAAACAAGAAUAAGAGAACAUUUUAUCAUCAUCUGCUUUAUUCACAUAAAUGAAGUUGUGAUGAAUAAAUCUGCUUUUAUGCAGACACAAGGAAUUAAGUGGCUUCGUCAUUGUCCUUCUACCUCAAAGAUAAUUUAUUCCAAAAGCUAAGAUAAAUGGAAGACUCUUGAACUUGUGAACUGAUGUGAAAUGCAGAAUCUCUUUUGAGUCUUUGCUGUUUGGAAGAUUGAAAAAUAUUGUUCAGCAUGGGUGACCACCAGAAAGUAAUCUUAAGCCAUCUAGAUGUCACAAUUGAAACAAACUGGGGAGUUGGUUGCUAUUGUAAAAUAAAAUAUACUGUUUUGAAAA